rnacentral:rRNA from 1 species
GACGAACGCUGGCGGCGUGCCUAAUACAUGCAAGUAGAACGCACAGUUUAUACCGUAGCUUGCUACACCAUAGACUGUGAGUUGCGAACGGGUGAGUAACGCGUAGGUAACCUGCCUGGUAGCGGGGGAUAACUAUUGGAAACGAUAGCUGAUACCGCAUAAUAUUAAUUAUUGCAUGAUAAUUAAUUGAAAGGUGCAAUUGCACCACUACCAGAUGGACCUGCGUUGUAUUAGCUAGUAGGUGAGGUAACGGCUCACCUAGGCGACGAUACAUAGCCGACCUGAGAGGGUGAUCGGCCACACUGGGACUGAGACACGGCCCAGACUCCUACGGGAGGCAGCAGUAGGGAAUCUUCGGCAAUAGACGAAAGUCUGACCGAGCAACGCCGCGUGAGUGAAGAAGGUUUUCGGAUCGUAAAGCUCUGUUGUAAGAGAAGAACGGGUGUGAGAGUGGAAAGUUCACACUGUGACGGUAUCUUACCAGAAAGGGACGGCUAACUACGUG